rnacentral:rRNA from 1 species
UUAAGCGACUAAGCGUACACGGUGGAUGCCCUGGCAGUCAGAGGCGAUGAAGGACGUGCUAAUCUGCGAAAAGCGUCGGUAAGGUGAUAUGAACCGUUACAGCCGGCGAUGUCCGAAUGGGGAAACCCAGUGUGAUUCGUCACACUAUCGUUAACUGAAUACAUAGGUUAACGAGGCGAACCGGGGGAACUGAAACAUCUAAGUACCCCGAGGAAAAGAAAUCAACCGAGAUUCCCCCAGUAGCGGCGAGCGAACGGGGAGCAGCCCAGAGUCUGAAUCAGCUUGUGUGUUAGUGGAACGGUCUGGAAAGUCCGACGGUACAGGGUGAUAGUCCCGUACACCAAAAUGCACAGGUUGUGAACUCGAAGAGUAGGGCGGGACACGUGGUAUCCUGUCUGAAUAUGGGGGGACCAUCCUCCAAGGCUAAAUACUCCUGACUGACCGAUAGUGAACCAGUACCGUGAGGGAAAGGCGAAAAGAACCCCGGCGAGGGGAGUGAAAAAGAACCUGAAACCGUGUACGUACAAGCAGUGGGAGCACCUUCAGGUGUGACUGCGUACCUUUUGUAUAAUGGGUCAGCGACUUAUAUUCUGUAGCAAGGUUAACCGUAUAGGGGAGCCGCAGGGAAACCGAGUCUUAACUGGGCGUUAAGUUGCAGGGUAUAGACCCGAAACCCGGUGAUCUAGCCAUGGGCAGGUUGAAGGUUGGGUAACACUAACUGGAGGACCGAACCGACUAAUGUUGAAAAAUUAGCGGAUGACUUGUGGCUGGGGGUGAAAGGCCAAUCAAACCGGGAGAUAGCUGGUUCUCCCCGAAAGCUAUUUAGGUAGCGCCUCGUGAACUCAUCUUCGGGGGUAGAGCACUGUUUCGGCUAGGGGGUCAUCCCGACUUACCAACCCGAUGCAAACUACGAAUACCGAAGAAUGUUAUCACGGGAGACACACGGCGGGUGCUAACGUCCGUCGUGAAGAGGGAAACAACCCAGACCGCCAGCUAAGGUCCCAAAGUCAUGGUUAAGUGGGAAACGAUGUGGGAAGGCACAGACAGCCAGGAUGUUGGCUUAGAAGCAGCCAUCAUUUAAAGAAAGCGUAAUAGCUCACUGGUCGAGUCGGCCUGCGCGGAAGAUGUAACGGGGCUAAACCAUGCACCGAAGCUGCGGCAGCGACACUAUGUGUUGUUGGGUAGGGGAGCGUUCUGUAAGCCUGCGAAGGUGUGCUGUGAGGCAUGCUGGAGGUAUCAGAAGUGCGAAUGCUGACAUAAGUAACGAUAAAGCGGGUGAAAAGCCCGCUCGCCGGAAGACCAAGGGUUCCUGUCCAACGUUAAUCGGGGCAGGGUGAGUCGACCCCUAAGGCGAGGCCGAAAGGCGUAGUCGAUGGGAAACAGGUUAAUAUUCCUGUACUUGGUGUUACUGCGAAGGGGGGACGGAGAAGGCUAUGUUAGCCGGGCGACGGUUGUCCCGGUUUAAGCAUGUAGGCUGAUUGUCCAGGCAAAUCCGGAUAAUCAAGGCUGAGGUGUGAUGACGAGGCACUACGGUGCUGAAGUAACAAAUGCCCUGCUUCCAGGAAAAGCCUCUAAGCAUCAGGUAACAUUAAAUCGUACCCCAAACCGACACAGGUGGUCAGGUAGAGAAUACCAAGGCGCUUGAGAGAACUCGGGUGAAGGAACUAGGCAAAAUGGUGCCGUAACUUCGGGAGAAGGCACGCUGGUGUGUAGGUGAAGNUGGAGCUGAGACCAGUCGAAGAUACCAGCUGGCUGCAACUGUUUAUUAAAAACACAGCACUGUGCAAACACGAAAGUGGACGUAUACGGUGUGACGCCUGCCCGGUGCCGGAAGGUUAAUUGAUGGGGUUAUCCGUAAGGAGAAGCUCUUGAUCGAAGCCCCGGUAAACGGCGGCCGUAACUAUAACGGUCCUAAGGUAGCGAAAUUCCUUGUCGGGUAAGUUCCGACCUGCACGAAUGGCGUAAUGAUGGCCAGGCUGUCUCCACCCGAGACUCAGUGAAAUUGAACUCGCUGUGAAGAUGCAGUGUACCCGCGGCAAGACGGAAAGACCCCGUGAACCUUUACUAUAGCUUGACACUGAACAUUGAGCCUUGAUGUGUAGGAUAGGUGGGAGGCUUUGAAGCGUGGACGCCAGUCUGCGUGGAGCCAACCUUGAAAUACCACCCUUUAAUGUUUGAUGUUCUAACGUUGGCCCCUUACCGGGGUUGCGGACAGUGUCUGGUGGGUAGUUUGACUGGGGCGGUCUCCUCCCAAAGCGUAACGGAGGAGCACGAAGGUUAGCUAAUCCUGGUCGGACAUCAGGAGGUUAGUGCAAUGGCAUAAGCUAGCUUGACUGCGAGCGUGACGGCGCGAGCAGGUGCGAAAGCAGGUCAUAGUGAUCCGGUGGUUCUGAAUGGAAGGGCCAUCGCUCAACGGAUAAAAGGUACUCCGGGGAUAACAGGCUGAUACCGCCCAAGAGUUCAUAUCGACGGCGGUGUUUGGCACCUCGAUGUCGGCUCAUCACAUCCUGGGGCUGAAGUAGGUCCCAAGGGUAUGGCUGUUCGCCAUUUAAAGUGGUACGCGAGCUGGGUUUAGAACGUCGUGAGACAGUUCGGUCCCUAUCUGCCGUGGGCGCUGGAGAAUUGAGGGGGGCUGCUCCUAGUACGAGAGGACCGGAGUGGACGCAUCACUGGUGUUCGGGUUGUCAUGCCAAUGGCACUGCCCGGUAGCUAAAUGCGGAAGAGAUAAGUGCUGAAAGCAUCUAAGCACGAAACUUGCCCCGAGAUGAGUUCUCCCUGAGACUUUAAGUCUCCUGAAGGAACGUUGAAGACGACGACGUUGAUAGGCCGGGUGUGUAAGCGCAGCGAUGCGUUGAGCUAACCGGUACUAAUGAACCGUGAGGCUUAACCUU